GACCAUGUCCCUUUAAGCUAGUGUUGUGAGUUUAAGCCAAAUCAGUGAUUGUGUUCAAUGACAAUGUUUGUUAUAGCGAACGAAAAUCGAAAAAAUCAUAUGAUCAAAGAAUUUGUAUCCGUUAGUUCAUGAAACAUACACUGAAAUAAGUAUUUUAUAACAAUUUCUGAUUUCCAGGUGAAAGCACUACAAAACGAGUACACCACUGAACGUUUUAACAUGCGUUGUGUUUUAUCGACCUAUAUUAAAGUAGGAUUGAAAAGUAUAUCCAUAACGACCCUUUUUAUCUUGAAUGCUAUAUUUUUCUGUUUAUGAAUGUUUACAGUGUUGAUUUUGGGUGCAUGGUUUUCUUUCUUGUGUAUACACAAGUCUGUUUGUAUUCUAAUUCUUAGUUUUUCUUAUUGCUUUGGUUAUUAUAAAAAAAUAAAAAAUAAAAAAUAAAAAAAUAAAAUUUAAGCAGCAAUCAGAAAGAAACAUUUGUGUUAAUCAAAUUAAAAAUUUAGAUUAACAAAGAAAUGUAAGUAAGGAUAUGUUUGUAGAAAUACCAUAACGAUUUUGAAGGCAUGAAAAGAUAUUGUUACGUUAAUCAAAUUCAUUGUGCAUUUUCAGUUGUCUUCUUUGUUAAUUUAUUUCAACUUAUCAAGGUGUCUGAGGGUAAUGAUUUCACGAACAAUUUAUCAUUUAAUUUUUUUUUUUUGAAAAUUACGUAUGAUUUCAUAACUGUGGACAAAAUCGUCAAUAAAUUAUGAUUUUUUAUCAACAUUUAAGAUAUAACGUAAUUUACUUACUUUUUGAUAAAAAAAAAAGGUGGUUGUUUUUUUUUUCCUUUUUUUAACUACGGAAAUUGAAAGACACUAUUGAAUUAAUUUAUUCUGUGGAGACUGUAAGCAGUGUGUCAUUGUGUUUACACUGUAUGUGUUUUGUUUAUAUUCUGUAAGAUCAAAUAUAUUAAAUACAUGUUUUGGUGCAAUAAAGCGACGGAACUUC
rnacentral:sRNA from 1 species